UGUGCUCAAAAGUGGAUUACCGCGUUUUGUCCGGUUUUAAAGUGAGGGGUGUUGGUUUAUACCCUAGAGGCAAUCAUGCGAGAUGUUAUUGUCUUAUAUAUUCAUGAACUUUUGUACUUAAACAUCAUCACUGAUAUGUAUCCAUAAUGACGUGUCCUAUUUGUGAGACUAUAUAUUGUAUGAUGAUUUUUCUAAUGGUCCCAAGUUGAUAACGUUAUGCACACACAUAUCCUUUGACUAAUAUAAGAUUCGAUUGAUGACUAUGUUUCUAAAGUCAUGGGCAUAGAUAUGCUAACCCUAUAUUAUGGUCUCAGGGAUGAGAAUUCCCAAGUCGGACAGACCCACUUUGAGACACGGUGAGAUAUUGCCAUAUGUUAGUCUCAAGUACAAUGUAUAUGCCAUGUCCUAGACAUAAGAUCUUGGCAUAUUCUUCUCAUAUUGAGGACCAACUCACUUACGGUAUAUCAACGCAACUCCGAACUAGUUAGUUAUAUAUAAUGGUAGAUUUUGGGUGAGUCAUGAAACAUGCCGUGAGACAUGGUUGGCUAAGAUGGGAUUUGCCCCUCCUACUCUCAGAGAUAUUGUUAGUGCCCUCUCAAGUGAUCAGAUUUUGAAAGCAUGAUCAUGGGACUUGGGUUAAGUGUUAACCUGAUUCGGUAAUCUAUAUCUUGAUUUUGAGAACAAAGGCCGAGCUACCAAUAAGAGUGGCAAGUACUUGCCUUGAUCACCACAACUAUAGGGCAAGGCAAAAGAAAUGUUGCAUAUGAUAUAUUAUCAAGGUUCAUCGAUAUAUGACACUAUGCACAAAGGAGAGUUGGCAUGUUUUACUAGGAGGCACUACUAGCUAUCGACUCGAGUCAUGUCCAUGUGUGCGUUAACCUAUAUAUAGGGUCAUGAACUUAAGGGGCAGGAGUCCAUUCGAAUUGGAUUCGAGUGAAAAAUGGGCCUAAAGUCCUGAUGUGCCUCAAGUGUUGAUCCCAUUUCUAACAUCUAUAUAAGUGGAGGGGCAAGAACCUAGAAUGGUUUCAACCAAUCCAACGACCUAUCAGCCUCCACUCACAAAGUCACUUUGUGUGAUCGGACCUUGCAGUCCAUCGCUCGAUAUUCCUCCCUGCACAUUUGGAUACCUUAGAAGUGUUGCACCUGCAACACUUGCAUGAACCAUUCGAGGGAACUAUGAGGAAAUGUUUGAGAGAUCCACAAGGAGGAGACAGGGACGUACUUCACCAACUCUUUUUCCGUUAUCGUCACUGUGGGUCGAGUGGUAAACCCCAUUCCUGUGAUCAAUCUCCGCACCAUGUCCUUGGUUUGGCGGAAGAAAAUUUUGUUUUCUCUAUCGUAGCGUACUUCCUGCCCCAACAAAGGGACCAAAUUGAGCAUCUCAAUAAGUUGAGGGAUGAAAAGGAGCAUGCUUGCCCGGGUAGUUGUUGCCUACUGGUAGUAUACCUUGUUAGUGCUCGUUAGUUAAGUAGCUCACUCUAGUCCUUUUAGGUUUUCAGCACAGCACUUGCAAUCGCUAUGCACCACACGUCAUUAGGCUUAGAGUUUGAACUCAGGGCCUCUAACAACCUUGACAGUCUUGUGAAACACCUGAUCUGCUCGUGGGUUGGCGCGAACAUCACGGAUCGUGGAGACUAGCACGUUCUUUGUAAGAACAAUAAAAGAAGAAGUGGAGUCUGAAAAGCCACAGGUUGAACGCAGCAUAGAAUCUCAUGUGUGUUCUGUUGGAAAUAUGCCCUAGAGGCAAUAAUAAAAGUAUUAUUAUAUUUAAAUGUUCAUGAUAAAUGUCUUUUAUUCAUGCUAUAACUGUAUUAUCCGGAAAUCGUAAUACACGUGUGAAUACAUAGACCACAAUAUGUCCCUGGUGAGCCUCUAGUUGACUAGCUCGUUGUGAUCAACGGAUAGUCAUGGUUUCCUGACUAUGGACAUUGGAUGUCGUUGAUAACGGGAUCACAUCAUUAGGAGAAUGAUGUGAUGGACAAGACCCAAUCCUAAGCAUAGCACAAAGAUCGUGUAGUUCGUUUGCUAGAGCUUUGCCAAUGUCAAGUAUCUCUUCCUUUGACCAUGAGAUCGUGUAACUCCUGGAUACCGUAGGAGUGCUUUGGGUGUAUCAAACGUCACAACGUAACUGGGUGACUAUAAAGGUGCACUACAGGUAUCUCCGAAAGUAUCUAUUGUUUUAUGCGGAUCGAGACUGGGAUUUGUCACUCCGUGUAAACGGAGAGGUAUCUCUGGGCCCACUCGGUAGGACAUCAUCAUAUGCGCAAUGUGACCAAGGAGUUGAUCACGGGAUGAUGUGUUACGGAACGAGUAAAGUGACUUGCCGGUAACGAGAUUGAACAAGGUAUUGGAUACCGACGGUCGAAUCUCGGGCAAGUAAAAUACCGCUAGACAAAGGGAAUUGAAUACGGGAUUGAUUAAGUCCUUGACAUCGUGGUUCAUCCGAUGAGAUCAUCGUGGAACAUGUGGGAGCCAUCAUGGGUAUCCAGAUCCCGCUGUUGGUUAUUGACCGGAGAACGUCUCGGUCAUGUCUACAUGUCUCCCGAACCCGUAGGGUCUACACACUUAAGGUUCGAUGACGCUAGGGUUAUAAAGGAAGCUUGUAUGUGGUUACCGAAUGUUGUUCGGAGUCCCGGAUGAGAUCCCGGACAUCACGAGGAGUUCCGGAAUGGUCCGGAGGUAAAGAUUUAUAUAUGGGAAGUCCUGUUUUGGUCACCGGAAAAGUUUCGGGCGAUAUCGGUAUUGUACCGGGACCAUCGGGAGGGUCCCGGGGGUCCACCAAGUGGGGCCACCUGCCCCAGAAGGCUGCGUGGGCCAUGUGUGGGAGGGGACCAGCCCCUAGGUGGGCUGGUGCGCCCCCCACAAGGGGCCAAGGCGCAAGGGAGAGUGGAGGGGGGCAAACCCUAGUCCAGAUGGGCCUUAAGGCCCACCUAGUGGGCGCCUCCCCUCUCUCCCCCUCCUGGCCGCCGCCCCCUUUGCCAUCUAGGGCUGGCCGCACCCCUUGGGGGUGGGAAACCCUAAAGGGGGCGCAGCCCCCCCUCUCCCCUAUAUAUAGUGAGGCCUAGGGCUGCCCAUAACACAUGAGUUCUCUCCCUCUUGGUGCAGCCCUACCUCUCUCCCUACUCCUCCUCUCCCAUGGUGCUUGGCGAAGCCCUGCGGGAUUGCCACGCUCCUCCACCACCACCACGCCGUUGUGCUGCUGCUGGAUGGAGUCUUCCUCAACCUCUCCCUUUCUCCUUGCUGGAUCAAGGCGUGGGAGACGUCACCGGGCUGUACGUGUGUUGAACGCGGAGGUGCCGUGCGUUCGGCACUUGAUCAUCGGUGAUUUGAAUCACGACGAGUACGACUCCAUCAACCCCGUUCACUUGAACGCUUCCGCUUAGCGAUCUACAAGGGUAUGUAGAUGCACUCUCCUUCUACUCGUAGCUGGUUUCUCCAUAGAUAGAUCUUGGUGACACGUAGGAAAAUUUUGAAUUUCUGCUACGUUCCCCAACAUGUUCUUCGUGUGUUCAUAUCCUACCUCUUGAUGUCGUGAGCUUGACUAUGUGACGAAUUACGGAGGGGUUCCGGAGUGUAUCGGGUACAUACCAGAGUACCGUAGGGGUUACCGGAACUCCCCGGUGGAAGAUAUGUGCCACAUGGGCCAUAGGAGGGAGGCUAACGAGCCCACAAUGGGCUGGUGCGCCCCCCACAAAGGAGGAGGCCAAAUUGGUUUAGGGAAGGUUGCGCCACCCCCUUUCCUUUUCCUACUCCCUCUCCUUUCUUUUCCCUCCUGUGAAGAAAGGAAAAAAAGGGGGACGAAUCCUACCAGGAUUAGGAGUCCUUGUAGGACUCCCCCAUGGCGCGCCCCUCUUGGCCGGCCACCCCUCCUUCCCUCCUUUAUAUACAAGGGCGGGGGCACCCCAAAGGCACACCAAUAGUUCUCUUAGCCGUGUGCGGUGCCCCCCUCCACAGUUUACUCCUCCGGUCAUAGUGUCGUAGUGCUUAGGGGAAGCCCUGCGUGGAUCACAUCACCAUCACUGUCACCACGCCGUCGUGCUGACAGAACUCUCCCCCGACCCUCUGCUGGAUCAAGAGUUUGAUGGACGUCAUCGUGCUGAACGUGUGCUGAACUCGAAGGUGCCAUACGCAGUGGCAGACCCAGGAAUCAAAGUUAGCCGGGGCGGAAAUUUAAGUUCUAAUUUUUUUAGCUGCAAAUGCAAGCCUACUUAAUCAAAAUUCAUGACCUUCAACUAUCAAAAACAUUAAAAAAAGCCUUAAAGACUAUUAACAUGGAUUUUUGUCGCUUGAUAUGCUCACACUUGAUGCCACAAUACAUUCUCACAAUAUCAAGCAAGACCUACGAAAUUACGAAUGUAUUAGCACCAGUGCGAUAAUUGUGCAAAGUACAAAAGGUUGUAGAGGUAGACAUUUUUAUAGUAUGAAAAUGUAUAUGAGUCUGCUUAUCACUAAUUUUGAAAAAAAAGAUCAUGACAUACUCCCUCCGUAAAGAGUAGUGAUUUAAGCGCUUUUUAUUUCUGUACCGAGGGAGCACUAGUUAUGUCACUCUUACUAUAUCCACUUAUAAUAUGUGAAUAUGUAAUAUACGAUUCCUCUAUUUUUAAGAUAUGUCAGACGAAUCAAAUCUUCUUAUGGUUUGUAAACCAUCAGAUCAUUAAAUAGCGCCGAAAUGCCUGGAUGUGUCUACUUCGAUCGAGGAGGUCAUCUUUAAGCAUUGUUCUCAUACGCUUAAUAAAACAGCGCAUGUGCCUGCUCAUUUUUCUUUUUGUAAUGAGACUUCCGUUAGUUGGACUGUGGAGCCGCCGAGCUGCCUAAUCCCGGUACUUGUGGAUGAUGUACUGCCUUUGAUCAAUUAAUAAAGCAAGCCAUGAUGACUUUCCUUUAAAAAAAAUAGCGCUGGAAGUUGCGGCACGGAGCAGCGGCUGGAAAUCAUAGACACUGCUAAACUGGCCGCGACGCAGCUGUAGCAAAGUUCGUCAGUGGUGGCUUGGGAGUUGGGAGGGGGUCAAUUUUUCUUUUCUUUUUUUGAGAAAAUGUGGGGGUCAAUGUGGGCAAUGGGAGACCAAUACAUUCAGUAAUACCGAAUACUGGAUUCAUUUUAUGUUCGGCAGCAUGCGUUACAUCAUUUGGGCCUUAAGCAUAAUUGUGCAAAUGCUACAGACCAGCCCAAACCAUGUAGCCCAGCCGAAACUAUCUCACUCUGCUCUGCCUCGCCUACUGCUUCGCAGAAACUGUAAAUAAGCAAAAGCCGCCGCCAUGAAAACUGCUUGCCGCUGCCAUGAAAUCAGCUCGCCGCUGGAUGAUAGGUAGGUAGGGGUCGCUGCUCUGCUACCGAAGACCUGGGGCGGCCGCCCCAGCUCGCCCCAAUGGUGGAUCCGCCACUGGCAGUAUGUUCGGUAUUAAGAUCGGUUGAAUCGCGAAGACGUUUGACUACAUCAACCACGUUAACUUAACGCUUUCAUUUUCGGUGUACGAGGAUACGUGGACACACUCUUUUCCUCUCGUUGCUAUGCAUCUCCUAGAUAGAUCUUGCGUGAUCGUAGAAUUUUUUUUGAAAUUGCAUGCUACAUUUCCCAACACUAGUUGCGAGUUGAGAGUGGGAUUUCAACUGAAAAAGAAUGUCGGGCCAUAGUUGAGAGUGAGGGUGGACUUGCAACUGGGACAAAAAAGGCCAGGCCCGAGUUAUGAGUCAAAGAUGAACUUGCAACUGGGAUAAAAAAGGAAGAAACCGAGUAGUGAUCAAGGAUCCGAUGCAUAUGGUACGAGCAUGGAGAGACUAUGCCAUAACUGCUUGGUACUUAUGGUGGGAGAGACGUAAAUUAAUUCAUGAAGGAAAAUCACUAGACGCAUACCAAACUUCUUCGGGGUUCGUGCUAUAACGGCAAACUUUGUUUGUUAAUGCCCAUAUUUCUAAUGCUUCGAGUAAAAAGGGGGUGGAUUAGACCCCUACGAGAUUUGUUAAGCUCAAUGCGGAUGCAUCUUUUGACCAUGAUCUAUAAGCACAGCUAGAACUGUUCUUAGAGGUGACAAAGGAAAAUCAAUUGGUGGCAGAAACUGGAAGACUGAUUGAGUGUGGACAUUCUAAGAGCAGAAGCUUUGGCUCUUAGAUUGGGCCUUUUUAUGGCACAAAAGGCGGGAUGCAACCAGCUUAUUAUUAACUCAGAAAAAUAUGGAAGACAUUGAUAUAAUAAAGAAUGGAGGACAUUCCGCGGGAGCGGCGACGACAAUUUUUGAUGAUUGCUAUUUUCUGGCUUGAUUUGCUUCUUACUAGCUUGGAACAUUGUAAUAGGGAGGCGAAUAUGGUCGCUCAUGAACUGGCUAGGUUAGCAAAAUUUUCCGAAAGUAGGGACUGGUUUGAGGAGCCAAUGGAGGAGAUUGUACCUUCUAUUAUAGAUGAUGUAACCGUUAUUUCAAAUUAAUAAAGUAUUAUUUUUCAAAAAAAAAAUGGAGAGACGAUGCCAGCGUCGAGAGGUGAUGGCAUGUUGCAUGAAUGAGCCACACUUCGAUAUAACCCUCCUCACUAAACAUAUAAAGGGCAAUAUGAACCUUUCACAAGUCAUACCCAGUUUCGUAUGUAUGGUGGGUCACCCGCCAGACGAAUACAUACGUGCCCAUUAGCUUUUUCCUUUUUCUUUAACCUUCCGAAAAUGUGCAUCAAGUGGAAGUGGGCUGGGAAAAUAACGCUGUUAUGCCUAGUUAAUACUUUCCUUUUCUUCUGUUCUGCGUCUUAUCUAGCUAGAUUUCGUUGGUUUUAUUUAUUUUCUUAAUUUUUUAUCUUUUCUUUUCCCAUUUUCUUAAAUUUAUGAUUUUUCUAAAUCAUGAUCAUUUUCUUAAAUUCAUGAAAUUUUUUCAAAUCCCUGAUUUUUAUAUGAAUCGUUGUACUUUUUUUAAAAUUCAUGAACAAUUAUUCAAAUUGAUGAUCUUUCUUUAAUUUCGUAAACAUUUUCCAAAUAUGUGAACUUUUUAUUUUUUUUAAAUUUUUAAAAAUUCUUGAAUUUAUUUUCAAGUCGAUGAACUUCAAAUGGCCCAAAUUCAUGAACUUUCUCUUUCCCAUUUAUUUAAAUUUGUGAUUUAAAAAAAAGAAAUUUGGAAAAAAUGUUUGUGUGUUUCAAAUUUUCUUAGAAUGCGAACAUUGUUUGGAUCUGCGAACAAUUUUUGAAAAUGGGAACACUAAGUAAAACUCUGAACAAAAUUUAACAACCCGAACAUUUUUUUGAAUUUAUGAAUUUUUUUAAAAUUUUGAAUAUGUUUUAACAUUAAUUACUAAAUAUGAACAAACAUUGGAAUGUGAACAAAGUUUGGAAAUUCUUAAAAAUUUCUGAAUUUAGAAUAUUGAUUAAUAAAUAUGGAAAAAUCGGAAUUCUGAACAUUUUUUUAAGAAAUUUCAACAUGAAUAUUUUGAGAAAUUAAGAAGAAAAUUUUGAAGUUCUCAUUUUUUCUAAUCUAUGAAAAAUUGAAACAAUAAAUAUAAAAACAAAAAGGCUAAAGAAAAUGAAAAAGAAAAGAAAAAAAUAUGAGAGAAUAUAAAAAGAAAAAGAAAAAAAGACGUUUGGGGAACCUCCUAGAAGAUUCCCAAAACCCGAUAAAAAACUUACUAGGAAGAUGAUGUUCCCAAAAUUGGGAACAAUUUUGCAAAUUAUUUUAGUAACCUUUCUUUGAACAUCUGCGAAAAUUUUGAAAUCUGUCAACUUUUUUUCAAAAUCAAAGAAAUGGUUUCAUAUACGCGUGCGCUUGGGCUGGCCCAACAUGUGUCCUAUGGGAGUGAUGCUGUCGUCCAGUUGGACCAAGGUCUAAGCGUUUUUUUCAUUUCUUAUUUUUGUUUUUCUUCUCUUUUUCAUUAAUUCAUUUUUCUCCUUUUUAAACUUGAUUAUUCUUUUUAAAACAUAUUCAAAAAUUUGAAAUAUUUUUUGGCAUACCCAAAUAACAAUUUUAAAUUAUAAUUUUAAGUUUUUUUUCCUUCAAAUGUUUAUUAAAUGCUUUUAAAAUGGUUUUAAUUUUAUACAUAUGUAUUUAUUUGUUAUGUUAAAAACUUAAAAUAAUUGUUUUAAGUACUUGUUUAAAUUACAAUUUUCAACACAUUUCUCCUUCAAUCCUAGCGCGGAUGCCUACCAUGGACAAUGCCCACCUGACGGAAAAGUUGGGGUCAUUUCUAGGAUGUCCAAAAAAACAUAUUCAAUGUAGUGUGUCUGGGGUAGGCCAGAAGGCUCCGUUCGAUAGCACAUUUUUGCCGACGUCUCUCAUGUGACCCUAACUUUUCUCCAUGGCCUUGUAUGGCGAAUUCAAGGCACCACGUCAAGUUACUUGGGUUUUUAACAAGUUUUGCAUAUGGAGUUUUCUCGGUCAAAAAGGCCGAUAAAUGGCCGACCGUGUCGCGACUUGCAUGCGAUAUCAGAAAAAGUUCAAACAUGGCAUAGAUGGUUACCAUGGGCAUGCCACAUUCUUGCAAAAGUUGAGGUCAUUUAAAUAAUAUCGGAUAAUAGACCAUAUGCAACGGAGGGUGUUUGGGUAGGCCAGAAGGCUUCGUCUGAGAGCACGUUGUUUUUCAACAUCCUUGAAAUGGACCCAAUUUUUUCUCAUGCCCUUAUAAGACCAAUUCAAGGUGCCAAGCCAAGUUGUUUGGGGUUUUGACAAGUUCUGCAUUUUUCCAGAGUAUUCCUGGUGAAAAAAGAUUGAUAAAUGGCAGGACGUGUCGCAGCGUGCGAGCGGUGUUGGAAUUCGUUCAAACCUGACAUGAAUGCCUAUGGGCAUGCCCACUGAUGUCUACUACACAACCUUCUUCUUGUAGACGUUGUUGGGCCUCCAAGUGCAGAGGUUUGUAGCACAGUAGCAAAUUUCCCUCAAGUGGAUGACCUAAGGUUUAUCAAUCCGUGGGAGGCGUAGGAUGAAGAUGGUCUCUCUCAAGCAACCAUGCAACCAAAUAACAAAGAGUCUCUUGUGUCCUCAACACACCCAAUACAAUGGUAAAUUGUAUAGGUGCACUAGUUCGGCAAAGAAAUGGUGAUACAAGUGCAAUAUGUAUGAUAUAUCUGAGUAUUUGUAAUCUAAAAAUAUAAAAACAGCAAGGUAGCAAGCGAUAAAAGUGAGCGUAAACGGUAUUGCAAUGCUAGGAAACAAGGCCUAGGGUUCAUACUUUCACCAGUGCAAGUUCUCUCAACAAUAAUAACAUAAUUAGAUCAUAUAACUAUCCCUCAACAUGCAACAAAGAGUCACUCAAAAGUCACUAAUAGCGGAGAACAAACGAAGAGAUUAUGGUAGGGUACGAAACCACCUCAAAGUUAUUCUUUCUGAUCGAUCUAUUCAAGAGUUCAUACUAGAAUAACAACUUAAGACACAAAUCAACCAAAACCCUAACGUCACCUAGAUACUCCAAUGUCACCUCAAGUCUCCGUGGGUAUAAUUAUACGAUAUGCAUCACACAAUCUCAGAUUCAUCUAUUCAACCAACACAAAGAACUUCAAAGAGUGCCCCAAAGUUUCUACCGGAGAAUCAAGACGAAAACGUGUGCCAACCCCUAUGCAUAGAUUCCCAAGUUCGCGGAACCCGCAAGUUGAUCACCAAAACAUACAUCAAGUGGACCACGUGAUAUCCCAUUGUCACCACAGAUAAGCACAUGCAAGACAUACAUCAAGUGUUCUCGAAUCCUUAAAGACUCAAUCCGAUAAGAUAACUUCGAAGGGAAAACUCAAUCCAUUACAAGAGAGUAGAGGGGGAGAAACAUCAUAAGAUCCAACAAUAAUAGCAAAGCUCGAGAUACAUCAAGACCGUACCACCUCAAGAACACGAGAGAGAGAGAGAGAGAGAGAGAGAGAGAUCAAACACAUAGCUACUAGUACAUACCCUCAGCCCCGAGGGUGAACUACUCCCUCCUCGUCAUCGAGAGCGCCGGGAUGAUGAAGAUGGCCACCAGUGAGGGAUCCCCCCUCUGGCAGGGUGCCGGAACAGGGUCCCGAUUGGUUUUCUGUGGCUACAGAGGCUUCUGGCGGUGGAACUCCCGGUCUAUUCUGUUCCCCGAUGUUUUUAGGGUAUAUGGACAUAUAUAGGCGAAAGAAGUCAGUCAGGGGAGCCACGAGGGGCCCAUGAGGGUGGGGGGCACGCCUCCCUGCCUCGUGGCUUCCUCAGAGCUUCCGUGAUGUCUACUCCAAGUCUUCUGGAUUGCUUCCGUUCCAAAAAUAACUCUCCCGAAGGUUUCAUUCCGUUUGGACUCCGUUUGAUAUUCCUUUUCUUCGAAACACUGAAAUAGGCAAGAAAACAACAAUUUGGGUUGGGCCUCCGGUUAAUAGGUUAGUCCCAAAAAAAAUAUAAAAGUGUUUAGUAAAGUCCAUAAACAUCCAAAACAGAUAAUAUAAUAGCAUGAAUAAUUCAUAAAUUAUAGAUACGUUGGAGACGUAUCACCCACCGGCUUGCAAAAGAUGUGGUCAUUUAUCCAUAGUCCAAAAAUCCACCAGUUCGGAGGAGUGUGGCAGACUAGUCCAAGCGGGUGCAUCCGUGAGCAUGUAGUUUUUUCUAAUUUGAAUGCUUGUAUUAUUUGUAAUUUCUGUCAUUAUCAAUCAACAUGAACAUUCUCUUAUCUCCUAACCAUUUCUUGAAAUUCGUCAACAAUUUUUGUUAUUUCGAAUUGUGUACAAAUAUUUUACAGACUUCAACACUUUCCCAGAAUUGUUAACAAAUUCCCAACAAUUGAUGAAAAUUUUGAUCACAAAUUACAAAUAAUGUACUUUAAAUUAAUAUUAAUUGUUUUUUAAGACACAAACUCUUCUUGAAUUUGUGAACUAAAAAUUCAAAAAUGAGAACAUUUUUUAAAAUUCUAGAAUAUUCUUACAAAUUGUAAAAAAUAUUUGAAAAUAAGAAUUUUUUUGGUAUUCGAAACAAUAUUUCAAUUUUUCAAUAGGUUCCUAAUAAUAAAGUUCAAAAAGUAGAAAAAUCAAUUAACAAAAAAUAGAAGGAAAACAAAAAAAGGAAAAAAAAGCUCUUAGAAGUACGUCAACUAAUAAUCCAUAGCCCCCCCCCCCACGCCCUAAAUUGUGCAUCGAAGGAAUAAUUUUUCUUCUAAUUAGACGGAUAAAUCCGUGAUGAGGUAAGUGAUGCCAAUUGUUACUCACAUCACGGAAAAUUACAAUCAAUGUUGUUCGGCUCAAUAGCUUCAGGUGUCCCACACCCUAGCCAGGUCAUAGUCCUACCUUCUAAACGAGCAAAGUUCACCAAAGAAUUACUAACUUUAUUCUAAGACCUACUAAUAUGAGUAAUACUAGUUCUAUGAAGACUCAAAAGAUACUUUAUCUCCUUCACCAAGGAAGAAUACAUCGAUUUAUCAAUCUCGUGGGCUUGAAUCAUCUUUACUGCUACUGAGGAAUCCAUUUCAAUUGUAACCGGAAAAUCAAUGCGUGAUGAGGCUAAAGAGAGUCCUUCCAUACACGCACCAAGUUUCGCUUCCAGUGCGUCCCGACAAGAGGAAAGCUGCCUGCAUGAAGAGAAAAUGAUCGCACCACUUUCAUCACGAAAUACCAUGCUUGACCCAGCUCUAUCAUCCGGAGAGAGAGAACCAUCGCAGUUCAGUCUAGGCCAUCCGUGCAAUGGAGGAGACCAUCUCAAGAGCGCAGCAUCAGACUUAAUUUUAAAUGGCUUGGGAAUAGCAUGUACAGGAACUAUCAUUGAUUUACCUUUGCAUGGACGAGCAAAGGGUUCAUGCUUGAUGCACUACAACGAAUCCAGGUAACUGCACAAGAAUCUCUUCGACACACCAACCAGGGCGGAUCUUUGUUAUGCACUAAUUCAUUUCUAAUAUGCCAGCACCUCCACAUCGUCAUCAGCAACAUGCAACAUUCAACUUCAGGAAAGAAUCAAGAAUAUUAAGCAGCCACUCCUGACCUGAAUGUGUAAUGGAUUUUAGCUCAGGUAUGCGCCAUACUUCAAAGAUAGUACCCCAUAGUUCCACUGCUCUUGGAUAGAUGCAAACGAAUGAAAAUGGUCUUCUAUUCCUUUAUCACAAAUUGGGCAAGUAGCUGAAGUUUCCAAUCCUCUUUUAUGCUUAUUUUCCCAUGUAGGCAGGGAAUUGGUCACACAGCGCCAUGCAAAAUUACGCACUCUGGGGAGCACAUCAUAAGACCAAUUAAGAUUCCAUACUUUACGAAUAACAUCAGGUAAUGAACUUGACGCAUCAUCUGUUUCUCCAGUAGCAAGGUUCAGUGCAAAGUUAUACGCGCUUUUGACUGAGAAGCAACCAUGUAUACCCGGUCCCCAAGCCAGUGUAUCAUCUUUGAGUUGUUGCGAAGCUUAGAUCUUUAGUAUUUCCACGACGUCACACGGUAAAAAGUAGUCCUAUAGAACCUGAACAUUUCAUAAACCGUUUGUAUUAAAAAAGCUCUGAAAUGAAACGAAUCCUACAUCUCCCUUGCAAGGAAACUGGAUUGUAUGAAAAGGGUCUAGGAAUCCAAUUGUCUCUCCACACCCAAAUACUUUGUCCAUUACCCACCCUCCAUAUCAACCCUUUUUUAGAAAGUCUAACCCAUGACAUAUAGCAGUCCAAGAAGAAGAGGCAUUGCCUGAGAAAACAAUAUCUUCUAUCUUCCCUAUAGUAUAAUAACGAGACUUCAAAAGACGGGCACAAAGUCUAUUCAGUUUCACAAUGAGCCUCCAAGCCUGACAGGCAAGAAGUGCUUGGUUGAAUAAACGAAAAUCCCUGAAACCUAGUCCACCCUUACACUUAGGUUGUUGCAAGCAUCCCCAAGAUUUCCAAUGAAAUUUAUGUUUGCCCUUCUCAGAACCCCAAUAAAAAUUCUGAACCAUCCUCAUCAAGUCAUCGCACACUGAGAAAGGGAGUAAAACACCCAUUAUAUAUCUAGGAAGCGCCUCUGCGACUGACUUAAUGAUAACCUCUCUUCCUGGUUGAGCAAGAAAUCCAUCCACCCAUUGGAUCAAUCUUGUAGUCAAGCUACUCUGAAGGUUUUGGAACUUCCCUUUCUACAUUCUACCUUAUGGGGUUGGGAGUCCAACAUAUAUCUCCUCAAAGCAUGAAGUGGACACAUGAAGAACAAAACGCACUUGCUCCUGAACAGUAGUGGGACAUUGCUACCUCUUGAGCACUUGCGUUGGUUUUCCCUUGAAGAGGAAAGGGUGGUGCAGCAAAGUAGCAUAAGUAUUUUCCCUCAGUUUUUGAGAACCAAGAUAUCAAUCCAGUAGGAGGCUACGCGCCAGUCCCUCGCACCUACACAAAACAAAUAAAUCAUCGCAACCAACGCGAUAAGGGGUUGUCAAUCCCUACACGGUCACUUACGAGAGUGAGAUCUGAUAGAUAUGAUAAGAUAAUAUUUUUGGUAUUUUUAUGAUAAAGAUGCAAAGUAAAAUAAAAGCAAAGUAUUGGAAGAUUAAUAUGAUGAAGAUAGACCCGGGGGCCAUAGGUUUCACUAGUGGCUUCUCUCAAGAGCAUACAUAUUUUACAAUGGGUGAACAAAACUGUUGAGAAAUUGAAAGAAUUGAGCAUAGUUACGAGAAUAUGUAGAUAUGAUCAUGUAUAUAGGCAUCACGUCCGAGACAAGUAGACCGACUCCUGCCUACAUCUACUACUAUUACUCCACACAUCGACCGCUAUCCAGCAUGCAUCUAGAGUAUUAAGUUCAUAAGAACAGAGUAACGCCUUAAGCAAGAUGACAUGAUGUAGAGGGAUAAACUCAUGCAAUAUGAUGAAAACCCUAGGGAUGGCAAUGGGUAGGGUAUGGGCGGGUACAACCUCCUUCUACCCAAACCCAUACCCAUAGAAAUUUUCUAUACCCACCCACUUCAGUACCCAUGGGUAUAAACUGACACCCAUGCCCAUACCCGAUCCCAUCGGGUAUCCUAUACCCAAUGGGUAUCCAUUGGGUACAAUAUAUAGCAUUCAAAUUCUUAAGAGGUAGAGAAAUGAGUUCAAAAUUCAAGUGAUGGUGGUAGAGUAGUAUAGCAUGUAUGUGGCCUCCUCCAGUGGGUGGCCUCUUGGAGGCAUCAGGGGAGUAUGAGCAUCGGUUGGUGGAAGACCGACGUAGCAGAAGGCGGUGGUGGGAAUUGGGGAUCGUUGGAUCGAGUGUUCGACAAGAGUCUGGUAGUGAAGAGUCGAUAUUUCAUAUUUUUAGGAGUCACAUAGGAUGUAUGGGGAGUGGCGAGCAGGUGAUUAUGAGCCUAUGAGCUAUGACUUGUUUAAGGAAUACGAGAUUUAGGGUUGGACCAUAUGAGUUGGAUGUUAAACCCACAUGUUAUAGGAGUUAUUUUCAUUUAUUAAUUUUUUCUGGGUAUCCAUUGGGUUACCCAUGAGCACAAUUUCUUACCCAUGCCCUACCCAUAUAUUUUGCGGGUAUGGGUACCCAUUACCCGUGGAUAGAAAAUCUCUUCAUGUCUUGCCCAUACCCAUUGUUUUCGGGUAGGGUACCCGCGGGUACCCAUAACCAUGGGCAAAACUGCCAUCCCUAGAAAACCCCAUCUUGUUAUCCUCGAUGGAAACAAUACAAUACAUGCCUUGCUGCCCCUACUGUCACUUGGAAAGGACACCGCAAGAUUGAACCCAAAGCUAAGCACUUCCCCCAUUGCAAGAAAGAUCAAUCUAGUAGGACAAACCAAACUAAUAAUUCGAAGAGACUUGCAAAGAUAACCAAUCAUACAUAAAAGAAUCCAGAGAAGAUUCAAAUAUUGUUCAUAGAUAAACUUGAUCAUAAACCCACAAUUCAUCGGUCUCAACAAACAAACCGCAAAAUAAGAUUACAUUGAAUAGAUCUCCACAAGAGAGGGGGAGAACUUUGUAUUAAGAUCCAAAAAGAGAGAAGAAGCCAUCUAGCUAAUAACUAUGGACCCGAAGGUCUGAAGUAAACUACUCACACUUCAUCGAAGAGGCUAUGGUGUUGAUGUAGAAGCCCUCCGUGAUCGAUGCCCCCUCCAACGGAGCUCCAGAACAGACCCCAAGAUGGGAUCUCGUGGAUACAGGAAGUUACGGCGCUGGAAUUAGGAUUUUGGCUCCGUCUCUGAUCGUUUGGGGGUAUGUAGGUAUAUAUAGGAGGAAGAAGUACGUCGGUGGAUCAACAGGGGGCCCNNNNNNNNNNNNNNNNNNNNNNNNNNNNNNNNNNNNNNNNNNNNNNNNNNNNNNNNNNNNNNNNNNNNNNNNNNNNNNNNNNNNNNNNNNNNNNNNNNNNNNNNNNNNNNNNNNNNNNNNNNNNNNNNNNNNNNNNNNNNNNNNNNNNNNNNNNNNNNNNNNNNNNNNNNNNNNNNNNNNNNNNNNNNNNNNNNNNNNNNNNNNNNNNNNNNNNNNNNNNNNNNNNNNNNNNNNNNNNNNNNNNNNNCCCUACCUCGUGGCCUCCCUGUUGGUUGCUUGACAUAGGGUCCAAGUCUCCUGGAUCUUGUUCGUUCCAAAAAUCAAGUUCCCGAAGGUUUCAUUCCAUUUGGACUCCGUUUGAUAUUCCUUUUCUUCAAAACCGUAAAAUAGACAAAAAAAACAACAAUUCUGGACUGGGCCUCCGGUUAAUAGGUUAGUCCCAAAAAUAAUAUAAAAGUGGACAAUAAAGCCCAAUAAUGUCCAAAAUAGAAGAUAAUAUAGCAUGGAGCAAUCAAAAAUUAUAGAUACGUUGGAGACGUAUCAAGUAUCCCCAAGCUUAAUUCCUGCUCGUCCUCGAGUAGGUAAAUGAUAAAAACAUAAUUUUUGAUGUGGAAUGCUACUUGGCAUAAUUUCAAUGUUAUUCUUCUCAAUUGUGGUAUGAAUAUUCAGAUCCAAAAGAUUCAAGCCAAAAGUCUAAUAUUGACAUAAAAAUAAUAAUACUUCAAGCAUACUAACUAAGCAAUUAUGUCUUCUCAAAAUAACAUGGCCAAAGAAAGUUAUCCCUACAAAAUCAUAUAGUCUGGCUAUGCUCUAUCUUCACCACACAAAGUAUUUAAAUCAUGCACAACCCUGAUGACAAGCCAAUCAAUUGUUUCAUACUUUUGACAUUCUCAAAACUUUUUCAAUCUUCACGCAAUACAUGAGCGUGAGCCAUGGACAUAGCACUUUAGGUGGAAUAGAGUGGUGGUUGUGGAGAAGACAAAAAAGGAGAAGAUAGUCUCACAUCAACUAGGCGUAUCAACGGGCUAUGGAGAUGCCCAUCAAUAGAUAUCAAUGUGAGUGAGUAGGGAUUGCCAUGCAACGGAUGCACUAGAGCUAUAAGUAUAUGAAAGCUCAAAAAGAGACUAAGUGGGUGUGCAUUCAACUUGCUUGCUCACGAAGACCUAGGGCAUUUUGAGAAAGCCCAUCAUUGGAAUAUGCAAGCCAAGUUCUAUAAUGAAAAAUUCCCACUAGUAUAUGGAAGUGAUAGCAUAGGAGACUCUCUAUCAUGAAGAUCAUGAUGCUACUUUGAAGCACAAGUGUGGUAAAAGGAUAGUAACAUUAUCCCUUCUCUCUUUUUCUCUCAUUUUUUUAUUUGGGCCUUUUCUCCUUUUUAUGGCCUCUUUUUUUUAUUUGGGCUUCUUUGGCCUCUUUUUUUUCCGUCCGGAGUCUCAUCCCGACUUAUGGGGGAAUCAUAGUCUCCAUCAUCCUUUCCUCACUUGGAACAAUGCUCUAAUAAUGAUGAUUAUCACACUUUUAUUUUCUUACAACUCAAGAAUUACAACUCGAUACUUAGAACAAGAUAUGGCUCUAUAUGAAUGCUUCCGGCGGUGUACCCGAUAUGCAAUGAUGCAUGAGUGACAUGUAUGAAAGAAUUAUGAAUGGUGGCUUUGCCACAAAUACAAUGUCAACUACAUGAUCAUGCAAAGCAAUAUGACAAUGAUGAAGUAUGUCAUAGUAAACGAAAUGAUGGAAAGUUGCAUGGCAAUAUAUCUCGAAAUGGCUAUGGAAAUGCCAUAAUAGGUAGGUAUGGUGGCUGUUUUGAGGAAGGUAUAUAGUGGGUGUAUGAUACCGGCGAAAGGUGCGCGGUAUUAGAGAGGCUAGCAAUGAUGGAAGGGCGAGUGCGUAUAAUCCAUGGACUCAACAUUAGUCAAGAACUCAUAUACUUAUUGCAAAAAUCUACAAGUUAUCAAAGCAAAGUAUUACGCGCAUGCUCCUAGGGGGAUAGAUUGGUAGGAAAAGACCAUCUCUCAUCCCCGACCUCCACUCAUAAGGAAGACAACCAAUAAAUAAAUCAUGCUCCGACUUCAUCACAUAACGGUUCACCAUACGUGCAUGCCACGGGAAUCACAAACUUUAACACAAGUAUUUCUCAAAUUCACAACUACUCAACUAGCACAACUUUAAUAUCACCAUCUCCAUAUCUCAAAACAAUUAUCAAGUAUCAAACUUUUCAUAGUAUUCAACACACUCAUAAGAGAAUUUUAUUAUUAAUCUUGUAUACCUAGCAUAUUAGGAUUAUUUAAGCAAAUUAACAUGCUAUUUAAGACUCCCAAAAUAAUCUAAGUGAAGCAUGAGAAAUCAAUAGUUUCUAUAAGACAAAUCCACCGACGCGCUUUAAAAGAUAUAAGUGAAGUACUAGAGCAAAACUAUAUAACUCAAGAGAUAUAAGUGAAGCACAUAGAGUAUUCUAAUAAUUUCCGAAUCAUGUUUGUCUCUCUCAAAAGGUGUGUACAACAAACAUGAUUGUGUUAAACUAAAAAUCAAAGACUCAAAUCAUACAAGACGCUCCAAGCAAAACACAUAUCACGUGUUGAAUAAAAAUAUAGCUCCAAGUAAAGUUACCGAUAAAAGUAGACGAAAGAGGGGAUGCCUUCCGGGGCAUCCCCAAUCUUUGGCUUUUAGGUGUCCUUAGAUUAUCUUGGGGGUGCCAUGGGCAUCCCCAAGCUUAGGUUUUUAGGUGUCCUUAGAUUAUCUUGGGGAUGCCAUGGGCAUCCCCAAGCUUAGGCUCUUGCCACUCCUUGUUCCAUAAUCCAUCAAAUCUUUACCCAAAGCUUGAAAACUUCACAACACAAAACUUAAAGUAGAAAAUCUCGUGAGCUCCGUUAGCGACAGAAAACAAAAUACCACUUCAAGGUACUGUAAUGAACUCAUUUUUUAUUUAUAUUGGUGUUAAAACUAAUGUAUUCCAACUUCUCUAUGGUUUAUAAACUAUGUUACUAGCCAUAGAUUCAUCAAAAUAAGCAAACAACACACGAAAAACAGAAUCUGUCGAAAACAGAACAAUCUGUAGUAAUCUGUAGCUAGCGCAAAAUAUAGAAAAACCCAGAAAUUCUAAAAUAAAUUUAUGGACGUGAGGAAUCUAUCUAUUAAUCAUCUUCAAAAAGAAUUAACUAAAUAUCACUUUCCAAAUAAAAAUGGCAGCAGUUCUCGUGAGCGCUAAAGUUUCUGUUUUUUAAGCAAGAUUAACAAGACUUUCCCCAAGUCUUCCCAACGGUUCUACUUGGCACAAACACUAAUUAAACACAAAAAGCACAACCAAAAUAGAGGUUAUAUAAAUUAUUUAUUACUAAACAGGAGCAAAAAGAAAGGAGUAAAAAUAAAAUUGGGUUGCCUCCCAACAAGCGCUAUCGUUUAACGCCCCUAGCUAGGCAUAAAAAGCAAGGAUAGAUCUAGGUAUUGCCAUAAUAGUAAGAUAGAUCAUUAAAACUCAUUUCAUAUUCUCUAAGUUCGGCAGUAAGUUUUCUUUGAGGCAAGAAAAAGUAAUAAAAGGGCUAAAUUUAAUGGGACAAAAGUCCCCAAGAUCAACCUUGGGAGGUAUAGGUUCCUCCUUUGGCCCUCUGUAUUGCACAACCAAUUCAUCAUUAUAAGCAUUCUUUUGACAGAACUUUGUGAGCCUAUACUCAAGAGAAUAUCCUAGUUCAUUAUUUCGAAUGGCCAAAUCAUCAUUAAGUUCAGAAAUCCUAUCAACUAAGACAUUGGUAGGAAUCCUUUUUCUAAGAUUUUCAUUGAAAGCAACAUAGUGUAGGGAUUGAAAACACAUUAUUUCUUCUUGAUCAAAAAUGAUAGCCUCUAUGGGAGGACGGAAAGAGUCCACCCUAUAAUGCGCAAAGAUUUUUUUGGCCUCUUUUAUUAUGAAUCUGAACUCAUGAGCCAAAAAGAUAGUAGCGGCACGCUUAACAGAAGAAUGCUCAAUAUUAGAAAAUUCUAGGAAAAUCCUUUGUAUGCAAGGGUGCAUGUGCAUGAAUUGUCUUUCAAGUUCAACUACAAGCAUGGCAAUAUCGUCCGCAAGACUACUAGUUCUAUGAAGGAUAGAACUACCCAUAGAAGGCAAAGCACUGGCACAAGUAAAGAAAUCUUGGAUAACUCCUUUUCCAAUAAUAUUACCACUACCAAUACGGAAUUCUUUUGUAUGUAAGAUAGGGGGUUCUUCAGCAGGAGCAUCCGAAUUUUUCAUGAUAUUAUUAGUGUCCAUAUCGACAAUAAUUUCCCCAAUUUCAGACAUAACGGCAGAAAGUGCAAAAGGCAAAAAGAGGCAAAUAGAGAAAGAGAGUAAGGAUAGAGAGAGAGAGGGCGAAUAAAACGGCAAGGGUGAAGUGGGGGAGAGGAAAACGAGAGGCAAAUGGCAAAUAAUGUAAUGCGGAAGAUAAGGGUUUGUGAUGGGUAUUUGGUAUGUUGACUUUUGUGUAGACCUCCCCGGCAACGGCGCCAGAAAUCCUUCUUGCUACCUCUUGAGCACUUGCGUUGGUUUUCCCUUGAAGAGGAAAAGGUGGUGCAGCAAAGUAGCAUAAAUAUUUCCCUCAGUUUUUGAGAUCUAAUGUAUCAAUCCAGUAGGAGGCUACGCGCCAGUCCCUCGCACCUACACAAAACAAAUAAAUCCUCGCAACCAACGCAAUAAGGGGUUGUCAAUCCCUACACGGUCACUUACGAGAGUGAGAUCUGACAGAUAUGAUAAGAUAAUAUUUUUGGUAUUUUUAUGAUAAAGAUGCAAAGUAAAAUAAAAGAAAAGUAUUGGAAGAUUAAUAUGAUGAAGAUAGACCCGGGGGCCAUAGGUUUCACUAGUGGCUUCUCUCAAGAGCAUAAGUAUUUUAUGAUGGGUGAACAAAUUGCUAUUGAGCAAUUGAUAGAAUUGAGCAUAGUUAUGAUAAUAUCUAGGUAUGAUCAUCUAUAUAGGAAUCACGUCCGAGACAAGUAGACCGACUCCUGCCUGCAUCUACUACUAUUACUCCACACAUCGACCGCUAUCCAGCAUGCAUCUAGAGUAUUAAGUUCAUAAGAACAGAGUAACGCCUUAAGCAAGAUGACAUGAUGUAGAGGUAUAAACUCAUGCAAUAUGAUGAAAACCUCAUCUUGUUAUCCUCGAUGGCAACAAUACAAUACGUGUCUUGCUGCCCCUACUGUCACUGGGAAAGGACACCGCAAGAUUGAACCCAAAGCUAAGCACUUCUCCCAUUGCAAGAAAGAUCAAUCUAGUAGGCCAAACCAAACUGAUAAUUCGAAGAGACUUACAAAGAUAACCAAUCAUACAUAAAAGAAUUCAGAAAAGAUUCAAAUAUUGUUCCUAGAUAAACUUGAUGAUAAAUCCACAAUUCAUCGGUCUCAACAAACACACCGCAAAAGAAGAUUACAUCGAAUAGAUCUCCACAAGAGAGGGGGAGAACUUUGUAUUGAGAUCCAAAAAGAGAGAAGAAGCCAUCUAGCUAAUAACUAUGGACCCGAAGGUCUGAAGUAAACUACUCAUACUUCAUCGGAGAGGCUAUGGUGUUGAUGUACGAGCCCUCCGUGAUCGAUGCCCCCUCCAGCGGAGCUCCGGAACAGGCCCCAAGAUGGGAUCUCGUGGAUACAGGAAGUUACGACAGUGGAAUUAGGGUUUUGGCUCCGUCUCUGAUCGUUUGGGGUACGUAGGUAUAUAUAGGAGGNNNNNNNNNNNNNNNNNNNNNNNNNNNNNNNNNNNNNNNNNNNNNNNNNNNNNNNNNNNNNNNNNNNNNNNNNNNNNNNNNNNNNNNNNNNNNNNNNNNNNNNNNNNNNNNNNNNNNNNNNNNNNNNNNNNNNNNNNNNNNNNNNNNNNNNNNNNNNNNNNNNNNNNNNNNNNNNNNNNNNNNNNNNNNNNNNNNNNNNNNNNNNNNNNNNNNNNNNNNNNNNUAGGUGCGCCCCCCUACCUCGUGGCCUCCCUGUUGGUUGCUUGACAUAGUGUCCAAGUCUCCUGGAUCUUGUUCGUUCCAAAAAUCAUGUUCCCGAAGGUUUCAUUCCGUUUGGACUCCGUUUGAUAUCCCUUUUCUUCUAAACCCUAAAAUAGGCAAAAAAAACAACAAUUCUGAGCUGGGCCUUCGGUUAAUAGGUUAGUCCCUAAAAUAAUAUAAAAGUGGAUAAUAAAGCCCAAUAAUGUCCAAAACAGAAGAUAAUAUAGCAUGAAGCAAUCAAAAAUUAUAGAUACAUUGGAGACGUAUCAGACAUGCACUCCAAACAGAAUAGAGCAUUUAUCAUAGUUCAAACACUGACCAGUAGCGACCUCAUAGGCAUCAAGGGCCUGUUUAAUAUGCAUUUCUUGGACCUGAGAAGCCUAAAAAAAAUAGCAUUGUGUCAUCCGCAAACAAAAGGUGAGACAUACCUGGAGAUCUUCUAUAGAUUUUAACCAGUGUAAUAUCAUUUGACCUUACUCCAUGAUUUAAUAAAGCAGACAAUCCAUCAGUGACAAAAAUAAACAAGAAGGGUGAUAAUGGGUCACCUUGCUGAAGCCCACGCGACGGUGCAAAUGAAUCCAAGAGGAAACCCCGCCGGUUAGAGAAGCCCAUCUUUUGCAUCACUUGCUUAACAAAUGCCCAAUCAACCCUAUCAUAAGCUUAUGACAGAUCAAGCUUGUAAGCACAAAAACAUUUUGUUGGAACCUUCUCCCAUUUAAUAUAAUGAAUGCACUCAAAGGCCACCCAAGCAUUAUCAGUAAUUAUUCUGCCAGGGACAAAGGCACUCUUUUCUGGAGAAAUUAGAUCAUCCAACAAAGGCCUCAACCUGUUCACCAAACACUUAGAUAUAACCUUAUAAAUUACAUUACAUAAACUUAUAGGUCUAUAGUGAGUAAGUCUAGCUGGAUUGGCAAUUUUUGGGAUGAGCACAAUAGAAGUAGCAUUCACUCCUUCCGACAUAACACCAAUGAUAAAUAAAUCCUUAACUGGCGCAGCAAUACUUUCUUUCAAAGUACCCCAAUUGCGCUGAUUUUUUUUGCCGGAAACCCAUCCGGUCCUUGCGCCUUCAGUGGACCUAGUUUAAACAUAGCAUUUGAUAUCUCCUGGUCAGAAAGGCAGGGCAUAGGCGAUUAUUAUCAUCAUUGGUGACUCUAUUUCAAGCAAGUCUAGCACUACCGGAGCAUCAAGAUUAGGAUCAACAGUAAAGAUAGUUUUGAAGUACUCAUUUAUCAAGUCACUCAUGGAAGAGAAGUCCGAAUGAGCACUGCCAUCAUCAUCAAUAAUCUCACGGAUCUUAUUCUUAUGUGCACGCCAAAUAGCUUUGCUCUGAAAAUACUUUGCGUUCCUGUCACCCUCCUUUAGCCAAGUUAGUCUAGAUCUCUGAAGCCACAUCAUCCCCUCUUUAUAAAGGAGUUCAUUCAUCCUAUCGGUCACCUUUCGAAUUUCUGCUCGAUCCCCAUUCAUAUUCACGAGCUCCUCCAGCCGUGUUCGAGAAUUAUUUAACUCUCUCGUAAUGUUGCCAAACUUUUCCUUCCCCCAUGACCGAAGGGUUUUCAUCAUAGAAUCCAAGCCAUCACACAGCUUACCAAGGUUGUUCACCACACCAAAGGAGCCCCAUGCUUCCUUGAUUAUUUCUAGAAGAGCUGAAUCUCUCUCCCACAAUAUUUCAUACUGCCUGCAUCUAGCGCCAAAGUGUCCAGAUUCUGGCUUCCCUAUAAGCAGCAAUGGAAGGUGAUCUGAGCAUGAUGAGACGAGGUGCCUCACUUCCGAAUAAGCAAAGGCAUUACGCCAAGAAUUUGAUGCAACAGCCCUGUCAAGGCGCACCUUCACAUUAGCUUGUCCUUCCCUCUUAUUAUCAUAAGUAAAUGGGACUCCUGAAUAGCCAAGGUCAACAAGACCGCAAAUUUCUAAAGUGUCUCUGAACGCCAUCAUCUGCACCUCCGGCCUGGGAGUGACCGAGAGAUGUUCAAAAUCCCAUGGUUUUUGCUCGAGUUUGUUUUUGUUUGUAGGUCCACCAGAAUGUGGAUGCAAAUUAUCAAUGUACGUACGUUUUCUUUGUGAAAACAUUGAUGUAUUCACAGACACGUCUUGACUGGUGAUAUACAAAAAAUAAUAAAGAAAAUAUAGGAGUCCAGACGUGCCGUACAUGAGCACUGUAAGUACGUCAUUUUCUGUCCCGCCCGAUGCCCGGUCGCUUGUUGGGCCGGCCCGUGAAUUUGAAAAAAGUUCAUUGAUUUUUUUUAAAUAUUCACAGAUUUGACAUAUUUCUUGGAUUUUUAGAAAAUAUUCAUUAAGGAAACAAGUUUGACAAACUGAAAAAGAUUCACGAAUUUAAAAAACAGAAAAAAAAACAAAAGUACUCAUAGUAAAAACAAACUAAACCCGGUUUAAAAAAAGAAGAAAAAACCGGACAUGAAAGUUCACAAAGUUACAUUUGGCACAUAAGAAGUGAAAAAGAAAGCAAGUGGACACAACAAGUAACUUGUCUCAGUUGGUUACUAGAACUUGAAGUAAACCUUAAGGUUUGAAGUUCGACUCUCGGGCGGUACUUACAUAGGCCUUGUAUGGGCGUGGGCAAUGUAUUUUUAAAAAAGACCAUUCUACCUUUUAUUAUGAAAGUGUACGGAGAGAUCUAAUCGGUUGAUGUGUUUAGCGGGGUUGUACUGAAGCAUACCUUUUAUUAUGAAAGUGUACGGAGAGAUCUAAUCGGUUGAUGUGUUUAGCGGGGUUGUGCUGAAGUAGAUAUGUGAAUGAAUAGUCUGGCGCUCUCCGUUGGAAUUCAACCGAUGGUUCGAUUGGCCGACUCCGAGGCUAGCUAGACAGAAGGGCACAUACAUAGGCCGUGUAUUGGCACGGGCAAUGUAUUUUCAAAAAAGACCAUUCUACCUUUUAUUAUGAAAAUGUACAAAAGAGAUCUAAUCGGUUGAUGUGUUUAGUGGAGUUGUACUGAAGCAGAUCGCUCUCCAUUGGAAUUCAACCGAUGGUCCGAUUGGCUGACUUCGAGGCUAGCUAGACAGAAGGGCAAUCGAAUUCAACUGUACCAAUUUUUUAGUCAAAUGUUUGCGUACGACCGAUCGGUCGAGUCUUGGGUCGAUCGUGUCACGUGCAUUUGAUCCCUGUAGACCGCGCGUCUUCGGGUAUCCAUUUUUCUUCUUCUCUGCCUUAUCUUCUUCUUUCUCUACCACUCGACGAACCUCCUCCUUUCCUCUCUUCUUUUCCCCGGCGACGAACCAUCGCCCAGUGAGGGGGCGCACUGCCACGCGCCCCCUUAUGCCCUUUGCAACCUCGUCGCCAUGGCCGCAGGUGACGGGGCUAAGCACUGGAUGCCCUGACUAGCAAGCGGUGCGACUAGCGACGAGGUACAAGGGGGCGGCUGUUCUGCACGUCAACCACCUCAGGGUCUACGAAACACGACAAUGCAUCAAUCGCCAAGGAUGCGCCUCCCGACACCUUCGCUCAUGGUAGUGUUGCAACCCUUGGGAGCGAGAUGCUACAACCGGUCGCUAGAUAUGCUACAUCCGGUGGCGAGGGAUGCAAUAGCCAACCAACUUUUUGCUAGAACCAACUACCGCACUUCGUAGUUUUUUUUGUUUACUGGAACCGGCGUUUGGUUUUGUUACUAACGGCGACUUCAUUUGCUAUUGCCAGCGACGACAUUUUCUUCGCUAAAUCAUCCAUGAAGAUGAUGCAACUUCAACGGCGAGGUUGUACUGAAGCAUACCUUUUAUUAUGAAAGUGUACGGAGAGAUCUAAUCGGUUGAUGUGUUUAGCGGGGUUGUACUGAAGUAGAUAUGUGAAUGAAUAGUCUGGCGCUCUCCGUUGGAAUUCAACCGAUGGUCCGAUUGGCCGACUCCGAGGCUAGCUAGACAGAAGGGCACAUACAUAGGCCGUGUAUUGGCACGGGCAAUGUAUUUUCAAAAAAGACCAUUCUACCUUUUAUUAUGAAAAUGUACAAAAGAGAUCUAAUCGGUUGAUGUGUUUAGUGGAGUUGUACUGAAGCAGAUCGCUCUCCAUUGGAAUUCAACCGAUGGUCCGAUUGGCUGACUUCGAGGCUAGCUAGACAGAAGGGCAGUCGAAUUCAACUGUACCAAUUUUUUAGUCAAAUGUUUGCGUACGACCGAUCGGUCGAGUCUUGGGUCGAUCGUGUCACGUGCAUUUGAUCCCUGUAGACCGCGCGUCUUCGGGUAUCCAUUUUUCUUCUUCUCUGCCUUAUCUUCUUCUUUCUCUACCACUCGACGAACCUCCUCCUUUCCUCUCUUCUUUUCCCCGGCGACGAACCAUCGCCCAGUGAGGGGGCGCACUGCCACGCGCCCCCUUAUGCCCUUUGCAACCUCGUCGCCAUGGCCGCAGGUGACGGGGCUAAGCACUGGAUGCCCUGACUAGCAAGCGGUGCGACUAGCGACGAGGUACAAGGGGGCGGCUGUUCUGCACGUCAACCACCUCAGGGUCUACGAAACACGACAAUGCAUCAAUCGCCAAGGAUGCGCCUCCCGACACCUUCGCUCAUGGUAGUGUUGCAACCCUUGGGAGCGAGAUGCUACAACCGGUCGAUAGAUAUGCUACAUCCGGUGGCGAGGGAUGCAAUAGCCAAUCAACUUUUUGCUAGAACCAACUACCGCAGUUCGUAGUUUUUUUUGUUUACUGGAACCGGCGUUUGGUUUUGUUACUAACGGCGACUUCAUUUGCUAUUGCCAGCGACGACAUUUUCUUCGCUAAAUCAUCCAUGAAGAUGAUGCAACUUCAACGGCGAGUGACAACAUUUUUUUGCUACAAACGACACAACUUUUUGCUACCACCGGCAAUGAUUUUUGUUCCCUCCAUAUGCAGAUGUGACCGUCGCUUUUUAUUUUAUUUUUUGCUACAACCGCGUCAUGUUGUUUUUGCUGCAACCGGCAACCAGAAAGCUACAACUGGUCAGAGUUUUUGCUACGAUGCCAACCGGAUGGCGGCAGCGGCGAGGUUUUUUGCUGGAACUGUAACUUUUUUUGCUACAAUCGGUCGAUUUUUUUGCUGCAACUGCCAACCAGAGGGAUUGUACAGUUAUUCACGAAUUUGUCGUCGUAGGUGCUGCGACUGCCGGCCAUGGUCGCCGAAGCAGUGGCCGCCGCCACUGGAGCAGUGACCGUCGUCAGGAGGAGCUGCAACCAUGGGGACAUGCUGAUGUAUGCAUGGAGCCGAUGAGAAAUACAGUAGACGGCGAUGGCGAGGGCGGCGAGGGUAGCAAUAGACGAGACGCGCAUGGCGGUGUUUCGAGGCCGGGCGUCCAUGGCGGCGCAAUGAGGGCUAUUUGUUUUAGAGAAGAAGGUGCAAGAGAGGAGGAGGAAGAAGAUCGUGCAGCUGGGAACAAAAAUAUCGUACACCGGUGGUGCGACCUGCCCAAAUUUGAGCCUGCCGACCUGCGCGUAUCACUGCCAAUUUAUAUAUAUCUAUCGAACAGAUGGAAUUCAAACGUAGCAUCUUGGAAAGAACCUAUCAUGUCAGUUUUGUUAUAUCCGUGUCAUUUACUUGGUCAUUCCUAAAUAUAAGUCUUUUUGAGAUUCUAAUGCGGACAAUGUACGAAGCAAAAUGAAUGAAUUUAUACUCUAAAAUACGUUUAUAUACAUGUGUAUGUCAGCCGUAUUGAAAUCUCUAUAAGGUUUUAUAGUAAUUAAUUCAGUUUAGACAUCGAUUCAUCUAGCUGAGUAUUGUCCAACAGUUCAUGAUUCAGUGGUUGUUGUAUAUAGGUGAAACUGUAAGCCGUCAUAACUCACCUCCAAGCUCCCUCUCAAUUAGGCUGUACGCGUAGUGGAGAGUUCGUAGCUGCUGUUCGUCAAUUUCGCCUCGGCUUCGCCCACCACCACUGCUUGGUCAGUUUCACCUCGGCAUCCCCUUGUCGCCCACCACCUCCUCGCCGUCGUGGCCGUGUGAAGCGGAUGCGGUGACCUGCAACAACGGUUGACCAGGUUGACUACCGCCUCUUUCUCAAAUCUUUAUUGCAUUUCUAAAAAACAAUAAUUAUUUCUCAAUAAAAAUGUUAUUGCGCACCUGCGUGUUAUCACAGUCAUACGCCAUGCAUACACACAGGUCGUUUUAAGAAAAAAGGUUUUCCCCUGCUUUAUAUUAUAAAGCAAACCACUAAGCAUCCAACGAAACAGUGUCAAGUAUAAUAAGUCAUAGAAUCAUGCUGGGGACAUAGCAAGACAAACCCUAAAUAAAGCUAAAAAGAAGAAAUUAAUCCGGCUCAGGAGGAGGAGGAGGAGGUGGUGGCGGAGGAGCAAAAGACGCUGCCGAGGCACGAAGACCCGCCAUGAUGUUGUCGAUGACGCCUCUCCGCUUGCUAAGCGGUCUCCAGAGCUGUAAGAAGCCACACAUUUUAUAGAUCACAUUAGUCACUCGAGACGGAAUCACUGGUUCGAUGACUAGUUUAUUGCGGGAACACCAAAGAGACCAGGCAAGGGUAGCUAGCGCUACCCAAAUAGGGGCGCGCCUAGGCCCGGAGAGCCUAAAGACCUCCCCGAACAAAUCCGGGAGGUUGUCAUGGCACCACGUGCCCCCAACCACUUCCCGGGAGCAACUCCACAAGAACUGAGCUGCCGGGCACCGGAAGAAGAUGUGGUUGCAAUUUUCCGGUACCAGACAAAUGGGGCAGAUAUCAUCCCCAGGUCCAUUACGCUUACGGACCUCAGUGCCUGAGGUGAGGCGACCUCUAACCCAUUGCCAUAGAAAUGUACGGAUCUUCAGGGGGAGUUUGAUCUCCCAAAGCACCUCUAGCUCCACUGGACCAGGAGUAGGAACAAUCACCUGGUACAGAGAUCUAGUCGAAAAUUUACCGCUUGGCUCCAGAUGUCAAGAAAGCGUAUCCGGUUCCAGCGAAGGGGAGUAAAGGGCAAUACACUCAAGUAGCUCCUCCCAUUGCGCAAGUUCAACCGCCCCGAAGGUUCGGCGCAAGGCAAUCACGCCUAGGUUCGCUAAGGUCGCAGCCACGGAGAUCUGUGGGCGUACACAGAUAGAGAAUAACGCCAAAAAACGAUCUGCAAAGGGGCGGGUACCCGCCCAUCUAUCCAGCCAAAAUAGGGUGGCAGCACCGGAGCCUAUCUGGAUGGAAGUCCCAAUGCGCAGGACUGGUAACAAAGGGAUCACCGAUUGCCAGAAUUGGGAACCUCUAGACCUAGAUGCAAAUGCUAGCGGUUGCCCGUGAAGGUACUUCCCACGGAUAAUCUGAAGCCACAGGCCACCCUCCUCAUUCUGGAUCCGCCAAAGCCAUUUGGACAGGAGGGCAAUAUUCAUUCGCUUGAAGGAAAUAACUCCCAAGCCGCCCUUGUCCUUCGGUUUACAGAUCUCGGACCAUUUGACCAUAUGAUACUUCUGUUUAUUGUUCUCGCCUGCCCAAAAGAAUCGGGAGAGUAGUUUGGUAACUUCAUGAUGGAGGGAUUCAUGUAGACUAUAGAAUCUCAUGAUAUACAUGAAUAGGCUAAUAAGGGAGGAUUUCAUCAGAAUCACUCGAGCGGCUUUGGACGACCAUCUUUCUUGCCAAGGUUCCAUUCUAGGUUGGAGCUUGGCGAUUAUUGGACGAAAGUCCUUCUCCAGGAGCCGUGCGUCAUUAAGGGGCAUGCCAAGAUAGGUCAUCGGGAAGGACCUCAAGCGGCAGUUCAAAUGGUUGGCAAUCCGCUGGGCCUCCCCUUGAGGAUAUCCCAAGACCGUUACCUCGCUCUUGGCAAAGUUUAUUUUGAAGCCCGACAUUUCCUGGAAGCAGAGGAGGAGGAAUUUAAGGUUCUGGAUAUCUUCGUCCGACCCUUCCACCAUCAUAAUGGUGUCAUCGCAUAUUGGAGAUGGGUCAAGCCCCCAUCAGCCACCAGAUGGGGGCAAAUCCCCCUAAUGUGACCCGCGUGCUUGGCCAGUCUAGUAUCGAGGCGAGCGCAUCAACCACAAGGUUGAAGAGAAAUGGGGAAAUCGGGUCUCCCUGUCAGACCCCUUGGCCAGUCGUGAAGUAUGGACCAACCUCCCCAUUGAUAUUUAUAGCCGUCCGGCCACUCAUCACUAACUGCAUCACCCGAGCUACCCAUUGAGGGUCAAAGCCAUGCUUAAGCAACACUUCCCGAAGGAAGGCACACGGGUCGCUUUCCAGCGUGCCGUAUCGUUUACCAUGGGCUGUCUAACAAUUGCUAAUGUAUCUCUAAAAAAACAAUUGCUAAUGUAUGGCCGGCGCAUGAAACCUGACCAAAAUCGGGAGGUCAAAUAAACACCGAGUUUAUCUUUCGCGCGCCGCGCGCCACCCAGACCCGGGCACAGCUACGGGCGGCGGCCCCACGCUCUAGUUCUCAAGCUCAGAUGCAGAUCGACUAUAUAUUUCAUGCCGCCCGGCUGGAACACCUGCACCGCCACAACCCACAACCCUGCCUGUGAAGCAGCUACCUCGAAUUAAAUGUUCACGAGUGAUCAUGCCUAAUCUGCUUGCGAGGCUCGGCAACGGCGGGCGUGGAGCCUGCUACGGCGUCGUGGCGUCCUUGGCAUUGGCGCUCGUGUUCUGCGUGCUCGUCGCCACCGUCAGCGUCUGGAAGGCCUUCCUGUUCGCCGGCAUGGCGCUGACCGCCUUGGGCAUCGGUGAGUGCCUCGCGCCCAAUAGCUGGCGCGUCGGCGCCGCCGCCGAGCGUGAUAUCACAGUGGGCGUGCCUUUGGCAGCAUGCCGGUUCGGGCUCGGCAAGGCCAUGAUCGACUCGUUGCCCACGUUCGCGUACGCAUCCCGUGGCGCCGAUGGCGAUGCCGACCUCGAAUGCGGGAGCGCCCAGCUGUGCUCUGUGUGCUUGGAAGACCUUGAGGACCGCGAGAUGGUGCGGCAGCUGCCGUCGUGCAAGCACAUCUUCCAUGUCGAGUGUGUCGACAUGUGGUUGCACUCGCACACCACUUGUCCUAUCUGCCGCUGCGACCUCUCGCCACAGCGGCCAUGCUCUGCCAAAGUGGCAGCGGUCGAGACGGAACUGCCGGCUGUGCUGCCGCCUGUGUAGUGUGUAGGCAGGCACAUGUAUAGGGCAAUAUAUAUUUUGUACAGAGGGAUUAUUUACCAAGGUUGACACGUCAAAAAUUGUAGCUUAUGAGUGUUCAUUUGAAAAAAUAGACAGAAGGAAUGUACAAAUUAUGACCCGAAGAAAUACCAUCCGAAAUGCUCUUAUAUUUUCUUUGCAGAGGGAAUAAAAACAGAAUAAAAUGCAUAUACGGUCAUGGAACUUGUGUCGAAAGCGCACUUUGCACCAUACUUAAGAAUACGGUCAAUAUAUAUGACUUGAGGUGAUUAUACGGUCACUGACUUAUCAUAUAACUCCGUAUUCUACUCUGUUGACUGGUCAAACAUCACAACACCCUCUCUACCUAUGCGAGUCCCACUUGUUAGUGGGAAAGAGAAAAUAAGGGUCGCUGGAGAAUCAUACCAGGGAUGUUCUGCCGAAGCCCACGUACGCCAACUUCUGUGGCUCUCUCCUACACAACUUUAUGUUAAAUCCGUAGAGCUUUACUGUUAUUUCUUUUUUGAGGAUCAACCUUACGGUUAUUUAAUUAACACGCACACAACACACUUACAUGCAUGCACGCACCACUUAUGCAGCCACCGUUCAAGAAUUGUUUUCGUUUUUGUGUCGGGAAAGCACGCACGGAUCGUAGCAUGCAGAGGGAGCAGAAAGCCCCGUCCUGCCCGCGCACGAUGCAUGCAUGCACACACGCGGCGGUGCGGCUGGACAGGACUGUCGCUGGAUAGCCCGUUCGAUUCUCUGCGAUGCAUGACAUUUUUUUUCUGCUGACAGGUGGGACCAAUAUAAAGAUAGACAUAGGGCGCUAUGAUGUUUGACCAGUCAACAGAGUGAAAUACGGAAUUAUGUAGUAAGCCGGUGACCGUAUAAUCAUCUCAAGUCGUAUAUAGUGACCGUAUUAAUAGUAUUUUUAUGUAUAAUGACCAAAGUGAGCUUUUGACACAUGUUCAAUGACCAUGGAUGCAUUUUACUCAUAAAAACAUGACACCUAAUCGAUAAAACCAUUUCGAGGUGGAAGGGCAAGUGUCUAGUUUCAUUAGUGAAGGGUAUUAAGGUGCAAUGUUUCGGUGUCCAGGCUUAUCUGCACCCUGUUAGAAACAAAAUCACAAAAAAAUAAAAAAAAAUCCAAUUCUUUUUUGCAUGGUAGAAAAUUUAUUGCAUGAGGUACACUCCAAUUUUCAGGUCAUUUGGACGUCUGAGUAGCUCUCAGCAAAAAAAAAACAAAUUGGUCAAAACACUAAACUUUUUUACAGACCCUGAAUUUGUCUUUCUUGCCGAGAGCUGCUCAGAUGAAAAUUGGAGCGGAUCUCGCGCAUCAAAUUAUCUACCAUGCAAAAAAAUGUUUUUUUAUUUUUUCUAGAAUUUGUUUUGAUUUUUUUAGCACGGGUGCAGAUGAGCCUGUGCUCAAAAGUGGAUUACCGCGUUUUGUCCGGUUUUAAAGUGAGGGGUGUUGGUUUAUGCCCUAGAGGCAAUCAUGCGAGAUGUUAUUGUCUUAUAUAUUCAUGAACUUUUGUACUUGAACAUCAUCACUGAUAUGUAUCCAUAAUGAUGUGUCCUAUUUGUGAGACUAUAUAUUGUAUGGUGAUUUUUCUAAUGGUCCCAAGUUGAUAACGUUAUGCACACACAUAUCCUUUCACUAAUAUAAGAUUCGGUUGAUGACUAUGUUUCUUAAGUCAUGGGCAUAGAUAGGCUAACCCUAUAUUAUGGACUCAGGGAUGAGA
rnacentral:lncRNA from 1 species